rnacentral:rRNA from 1 species
CCUACGGGAGGCAGCAGUGGGGGAUAUUGCACAAUGGGGGAAAGCCUGAUCCAGCGACGCCGCGUGGGGGAAGAAGUAUUUCGGUAUGUAAAGCCCUAUCAGCAGGGAAGAAGAAAUGACGGUACCCGAGGAAGAAGCACCGGCUAAAUACGUGCCAGCAGCCGCGGUAAUACGUAUGGUGCAAGCGUUAUCCGGAUUUACUGGGUGUAAAGGGAGCGCAGGCGGGAAGGCAAGCCUGAUGUGAAAGCCCGCGGCCCAACCGCGGGACUGCAGUGGGAACUAGCGGGCUGGAGUGCCGGAGAGGUAGGCGGAAUGCCUAGUGUAGCGGUGAAAUGCGUAGAUAUUAGGAGGAACACCAGUGGCGAAGGCGGCCUGCUGGACGGUGACUGACGCUGAGGCGCGAAAGCGUGGGGAGCAAACAGGAUUAGAUACCCCAGUAGUC